GACGAACGCUGGCGGCGUGCUUAACACAUGCAAGUCGAACGGUGAAGGGACCGGUUUUUGCUGGUUCUGGAUGAGUGGCGAACGGGUGAGUAACACGUGAGUAACCUGCCCCCUUCUUCUGGAUAACCGCAUGAAAGUGUGGCUAAUACGGGAUAUUCUGCGCCUGCUGCAUGGUGGGUGUGGGAAAGAUAUUGUUUCGGUGGGGGAUGGGCUCGCGGCCUAUCAGCUUGUUGGUGGGGUGAUGGCCUACCAAGGCGGUGACGGGUAGCCGGCCUGAGAGGGUGGACGGUCACACUGGGGCUGAGACACGGCCCAGACUCCUACGGGAGGCAGCAGUGGGGAAUAUUGCACAAUGGGCGCAAGCCUGAUGCAGCGACGCCGCGUGAGGGAUGGAGGCCUUCGGGUUGUAAACCUCUUUCGCCAGUGAAGCAGGCCUGUCCCUUUUGUGGGUGGGUUGACGGUAGCUGGAUAAGAAGCGCCGGCUAACUACGUG
rnacentral:rRNA from 1 species